rnacentral:rRNA from 1 species
GAUGAACGCUGGCGGCGUGCCUAAUACAUGCAAGUCGAGCGAACGGACGAGAAGCUUGCUUCUCUGACGUUAGCGGCGGACGGGUGAGUAACACGUGGAUAACCUACCUAUAAGACUGGGAUAACUUCGGGAAACCGGAGCUAAUACCGGAUAAUAUUUUGAACCGCAUGGUUCAAAAGUGAAAGACGGUCUUGCUGUCACUUAUAGAUGGAUCCGCGCUGCAUUAGCUAGUUGGUAAGGUAACGGCUUACCAAGGCAACGAUGCAUAGCCGACCUGAGAGGGUGAUCGGCCACACUGGAACUGAGACACGGUCCAGACUCCUACGGGAGGCAGCAGUAGGGAAUCUUCCGCAAUGGGCGAAAGCCUGACGGAGCAACGCCGCGUGAGUGAUGAAGGUCUUCGGAUCGUAAAACUCUGUUAUUAGGGAAGAACAUAUGUGUAAGUAACUGUGCACAUCUUGACGGUACGUAAUCAGAAAGCCACGGCUAACUACGUG